rnacentral:lncRNA from 1 species
GUAGUACACACGUCAGAGAUCACGGCGUGGUCGUCACACUUGAACGAGCGUCAGUUUAUUAUGUGGACAUGACAGAAGCUGAGAGAGAGACUGAGAGAGGGUUUGAGUUGAGACAGAAUAUUUGGGUCCUCGAUAAAGAAGCAUACCGAAAGAGCACUCCACUUGCGGGCCCUGAUGUGUGGGGGCCCUUCUCCCUCCUCCUACAAGCAAAGGAUAUAUUCUCCCCCCAAACCCUCUAGUCACGUGGCACCCGUUAGUAUAUAGGCAAUAUGUAUGUCCCACUGUUUUUAUAGACUUACAGUCGAGUUCAUAAUUCAACUUCAUAUAGAGAGAAAGCUGAUUUCAAAACACGCUUGAUUUGAUAUAAAAUAUUGUUCUCAAACUAUAUAUUGAUUGAAAUGUUUGAUGAGCUAAAUUAUCGUCUGAAUGCAUGAUUUAUAAAUUAACAAUUAAUGAGAGCUGCACUUUUUAUCACGUUUAUCUUCAUUUUGUAUAACUUCAUUGUACACUUUGCAAAGAAGAAAAAAUAAGAAAUGAGAAUCGAGCCCAGAACCCAUCAUAAAUGAAGCUCUAAUGCCACUUUUUUUUUUCUUUUUUUUUUUCUUUUUUUUGAGAUCUUUUCCUAUUGGAAGGGGCGAUAGCAUAUUAAACUCACACACACAACACGGAUGCUAGGACUUGAACCCAAGACCUUGCCUGAAGGAGUAAAUAUUCCAAACCACUACACUAGUGGAUCUUUUGCCACAUUUUAAUAACUACCAAUCCUAAAAUUUUAAGCCAUCAAUUCAUACCAAGCUUAAAAUUACAACCUAACCCGUAUGCAACAUUAGCUUUCAUAACCCAACUCAAAUGAAAUUUAAAGCUUGGAGGGGUUAUGGCUUAGAAUUUAGAACAAGGAACAUUCGAAUUAUGCUCUCAUCAUCAGUGUAAAAUAUAAGUAAACAAGCAUGCAUCAUGCAUGCCAUAACUAAGUAAUGGAGGAUGCUGGAUCUUGGUAGCUUGAGGUUGAUGGCGUGAUGGACACACUGAAAAUCAUGGGGGCCCAAAGUUCACUUUGUCAGAUGGUGAAUAAAGUGGGGUUUGUGCCCACGUUAAUUUCACCGUACAGAAAACCAACUGUUCUAUAUUCUUAUAUCUAUACAAAGGAAAGGACGACGGUGAAUCCAUCUGAUUUUUAGUGUUCUUCUCUCUGCUAUGCAUCAGAUUUCAAUGAUCAGCUUCCAUUUUAUCAUUUUGCUUUGUUUCUUUUUAAUUAUUUGUUGGUGUUGAACCAAUUAAAGAAACUUUCAUAAUUACUUUGUGACGAGCUUGCAUGCGGGGGUUUUGAAAGUGAGCAAUCAUUUGUUAGGUGUUGAACCAUAUGCAUGAAGGACCACGUACCACUGGCUUUUUCCUAUAUGUGUUUUCCAAUAAUCUAUGAAAUUUAUCAAAAUUAAUAUGUUUGAUCUCUCAUAAUAAUCUAACUUGCUUCAACUUUGAUGAGCACUAUUCAUCCAUUUAUCGACUUUGCAAACCUUAGAGUGCUUAAUCAC